AGCAGCCGCGGUAAUUCCAGCUCCAAUAGCGUAUAUUAAAGUUGUUGCAGUUAAAAAGCUCGUAGCUGAACCUCGGGAUCAAUGGAUCGGUCAUGCCAUCGGUAUGUACUGGUCUCAUUGGUUCUCACCUUCUAAGGAACCAUGAUGUCAUUCAGUUGAUGUUGUGGGGAAUUAGGACUGUUACCUUGAAAAAUUAGAGUGUUUAAAGCAGGCUAACGCUUGAAUACAUUAGCAUGGAAUAAUGAAAUAGGACAUCGCAUUCUAUUUUGUUGGUUUCUAGGAUCGAUGUAAUGAUUAAUAGGGAUAGUUGGGGGCA
rnacentral:rRNA from 1 species